rnacentral:tRNA from 1 species
GCCGGAGUGGCGGAAUUGGCAGACGCAGCGGACUUAAAAUCCGCCGGGGCGCAAGCCUCGUGAGGGUUCGAUCCCCUCCUCCGGCA